AGGGAAAGGAUCGGAUUCCGGCCGAGGAGACGGUCGGCUGGCUGGUCGGUGGGCCGCGGGUAGGAGAGCUUGAGAAGCGGGGGGCAACAACACGCCAUUUUGAGCUCCCCUGCUGCAGCCAAACGUUUCGGCCAGCCACGUGGAACUUUGCAGGGGCCUCGGGCUCAUCUGGUCGGGGGUCCGCUUUGGAGAAAUUCAUUUCCAGGAUGUGUCGCUGGAGGUGUCUGACCCACUCCUCUUGGAUCGACAGCGGGCCCUGAAACUCCACGUCACAGAACCUGGCCGGAGAAAGGAAGAACACACGCACCGCCCCCCACCGACUCAGCUGUUAGGAGGAAGAAGCGGGCCGAGGGCCGAGCAGAGGCGCGCGUCCUAUCAGCUCGAACUGUCCCAAACAUCAAAAAAGAACGGCAUGAAGCCAACGGGCCCAUUCGCGGCCUCUGCCCGUCCUCACAAAGCUCCAACACCGACGAGCUACCCAGUACGACCCCGUACAAGAAACCGCCCAACGGGCUCAGCAGUUUACGCUGGAUGGGCCACCGGGUCCCCUGAUUUCAGGUCCUUUCUGAAUGUGAAAUCAAGGCGGAGCAACUGCAGCUUAGCUAACAGUCCCGGGAACAAGGCAGUACGGCUAAGUGAACAGAUCUGUCCAGACCAGCGGUUCUCAGGUUCGGCCGCCUACAAAAUAAUCGACUGAUCAAAAUGAAACAAGUGUUCUCGGGGAAGCGGUCGUUGUUCGGGUGUCAGAUUGAGUUCUUUUUUGCCCAUAUACACCUUCGACCCGAAACCGCUGGUGGUCAAGCUAGACGACGCAAGACCAUUUUCUGUUCUUUCCAAGGGUCGCUUCUCAAACCGUCAGAAUUUGCCUCCUAACUAACGGUUGCCGGGUCUUGGAGACCCUUAACGCUGGAAGCUGGUGAUUUCUGGAUGAGGUGGCUCGCUUCCCCUGGGAUGCUUUCUUCAGAAUUUCCUUUUGGGGCAGGGGGCGGGGGCACACGCUACUGAUGGUUCCGGGAUGUGAUUUUUCUUGCAUGAACGGAUGCUGCACUA